GGCCAUGGAAGUCGGAAUCUGCUAAGGAGUGUGUAACAACUCACCAACCGAAUGAAUUAGCCCUGAAAAUGGAUGGCGCUUAAACGUAUUACUUAUACUUUACCAUUAAAGUAAAUGCUAAACUUUAAUGAGUAGGAGGGCGUAUUGAUAAUUUAGAAGAUUGACAGUGAUGUUGAUUGGAAUUAUCUUUAGUGCAGAUCUUGGUGGUAGUAGCAAAUAUUCAAUAGAGAACAUUGAAGACUGAAGUGGAGAAAGGUUUCACAUGAACAACACUUGGAUGUGAGUUAGUCGAUCCUAAACGGUGGGUUAACUCCAAAUACAUAGAUACUUGUAUCUUGUACCGUGAAAGGGAAACAGGUUAAUAUUCCUGUACUAUAUCAAGGAGGUAAAGUGGCAACACGAAU
rnacentral:rRNA from 1 species